rnacentral:rRNA from 1 species
CCUACGGGUGGCAGCAGUGAGGAAUAUUGGUCAAUGGACGAGAGUCUGAACCAGCCAAGUAGCGUGAAGGAUGACUGUCCUAUGGGUUGUAAACUUCUUUUAUAUGGGAAUAAAAUGUUCCACGUGUGGGAUUUUGUAUGUACCAUAUGAAUAAGGAUCGGCUAACUCCGUGCCAGCAGCCGCGGUAAUACGGAGGAUCCGAGCGUUAUCCGGAUUUAUUGGGUUUAAAGGGAGCGUAGGUGGAUUGUUAAGUCAGUUGUGAAAGUUUGCGGCUCAACCGUAAAAUUGCAGUUGAAACUGGCAGUCUUGAGUACAGUAGAGGUGAGCGGAAUUCGUGGUGUAGCGGUGAAAUGCUUAGAGAUCACGAAGAACUCCGAUUGCGAAGGCAGUUCACUGGACUGCAACUGACACUGAGGCUCGAAAGUGUGGGUAUCAAACAGGAUUAGAUACCCCAGUAGUC